UACGUAGGGUGCGAGCGUUGUCCGGAAUUAUUGGGCGUAAAGAGCUCGUAGGCGGUUUGUCGCGUCGGAUGUGAAAACCCAGGGCUCAACCCUGGGCCUGCAUUCGAUACGGGCAAACUAGAGUAUGGCAGGGGAGACUGGAAUUCCUGGUGUAGCGGUGAAAUGCGCAGAUAUCAGGAGGAACACCGGUGGCGAAGGCGGGUCUCUGGGCCAAAACUGACGCUGAGGAGCGAAAGCGUGGGGAGCGAACAGG
rnacentral:rRNA from 1 species